ensembl:misc_RNA Metazoa_SRP Metazoan signal recognition particle RNA
GCCGGGCGCGGUGGCGCACGCCUGUAGUCCCAGCUACUCGGGAGGCUGAGACAGGAGGAUCGCUUGAGUCCAGGAGUUCUGGGCUGUAGUGCGCUAUGCCGAUCGGGUGUCCGCACUAAGUUCGGCAUCAAUAUGGUGACCUCCCGGGAGCGGGGAGCCACCAGGUUGCCUAAGGAGGGGUGAACCGGCCCAGGUGGGAAACGGAGCAGGUCAAAACUCCCGUGCUGAUCAGAAUCCUUGUUAGGCAUUUCUUUCAUCAUUGCCUUUUAUCAUAUGCUGACUACCUAUUUAU